AAGACGCGCAGUUAUCGUGAACUUUCGUAAAACCAUUUCUGUUUAUUGCCGCUUACUGUCGCGUCCAAAAAUAAUUUACGUCGUAGUUUUAUUAUUUAUUAUUACAACCAUUCUUGCAUUUAUUUAUAAUUAUUGUACAUCACUCAAGAGCCGGAAGAUUGAUCGAUCAAAUACCGGGGCCGAAGACUAUUCCGAUUUUUGGCAAUGUAUUGAUGUUAAAAACUUCAAGAGGUAAGUAUAAGUUCAUGAUAUGUUCAUCAUUAAUUAAUAAUAGUUCAUUAAAGUUCAACUUACUAUUUAUUUACGUAAGAAGAUACUAAGCUUGCGUGUUAACAUAAAACUAUGAACAUUACAGAGAACUGAUUUUUUUUCUCCCUUUUAUUCAUUCUUAAUUGCUAAUUUAUUGCAUGUUCGACUUACUAGUAACGGUAUAGCGUAUUCAAAAGAGUGAAAAUAGUAAUACAUUUACAUGUAUCGUUAUUUAUAAUAUAUUUUCACUAGAGAAACUCUGGUGGUUUUUGCGUACCUUUACGGACCAAUUUUAUCCCAUUAUUAGAUUUUGGGGUUGCCAAGUGCCUGUUAUAUCCAUUCGUCAUCCAGAUAAUCUCGAGGUAUUUAAAUGAAAGAGAAGAUGCAACAAUAUAAGAGAAAGAUAUAUACCCACACACAUACACACACACAACAUACAUACAAAAUGCCCGGCAAUUCGCGGCGCAGCCGCGGUGUGCUAAUAGAACAUAUCAACCUGAGCAAAAAGUCCCCAUCAGACUUUGCAAAAGUACGCAUGGUCGAGCGCGGUUAAGUAGGUAAUGACGGCAUAUAUAUAUGCGAGCGGGUAGAGCGCCUUUUUCCAAUGAAGUUUGCAACGUUCAAGCACAAUUAUAACAGGAUAUAAUAAUAAACCGAUGAGAAUUAUAUGUUACAACACGACUGUGAUUGAUCAUUCCUCAUAAAAAAGAAGAGACUUUCCGUGUAUCAUAUUAAUUAUAUAAAGUCCAAUUUUACAUCUUAUAUUGUCGCUUCGGCUCAUAUUAUAAUAAUCAUAAUGAUUACUAUACACGUCUAUAAUAAUUAUGUUUAAACGCUGCAAACUUCAUUGGGAAAAAGGAGCGCGACUCGCUCGCACAUAUGUAUGCGUCAUUACAUAUUCAGCCGCGUUCGACCACGCGUGCUCCUGUAAAGUCUGCUGCGCAACCCGUCAUAUUGCUCUGUAUAUUCGUGCAACACGCUACAUGAAACUGUUUGUAAAACGACAAAACGAUUAUUUAGUUACGUGUGAAUUGGAAUAAUAUAAUGAAUGCACAUAAUUAUAUAUUCUGUGGUUUCAGGCAAUAUUUAACAACACCAAGCACAUAGAAAAAGCCUGAUAUACGACAUUUUGUGUCCUUGACUAAACAUCGGGCUUCUUAUCAAUACAGAUAACAUAAUAAAAUUAAUAUUAUAAUCGUAUACACGCGUUUUAGCGUUACAUCGUCGAGUGUGUACUAGAUAUUGAGUACUCAUCUCUCUAUACAGAUAUUUUGAUAAAACAUGAUUCAUUAUAAUAUUAAAAAAUAUAUAACUGUACACAUGAGCAGAUUAGAAUAUUUCCUUAGUGAUAGAUUUGUAUUAUUCACUUAUUCAUCAUAAACUUACAUAGAGAAAAGCACUAACACCAAGUGAACAUAAUUAAUUGUUACUUAACCCUUUUAAAUCCAGCAAUAUUUUUAUCGAGCUAAGUGUACCUUGAUAGCUUGUGUAGGAAAUAUCUAAUUCAAUAUAAUAAUAUAUUAAUUUGUAAAUUAAUUUUUGGAUAUAAGUAAAUCGUUUUAAAUUUAGAAAAAGUAUUGUAUGCGAAAGUUAUUGAUAUUACUUCUUUUUUAUUUUGUAUUAUUUUCCUUACUUCAUAACGCAUUAUCGCGUGGAUAGCGAUUAUUCCAGUUGCAAAAAUUAUUCUAGAAUUAAUCUAAGGUAUAAUUUUAUUUCUGUUUUAAGUGCUAAAUGGCACUCACGGCGAAAGAUAUUAACAUCUACCAUCCAUUUCGAUAUACCAUGACAGUUUGUUAAUAUUUUAACUGAAGAAGGUGAACGCAUGGUGCAGAAAUUAAAGAACAUCGGCGGGAUCGUUGAAAUGGAUAUAGAACCAUUUGUUACUGAACAUAUGUUGAACGCAGAAUGCGAUAAAUCAUAUAUUUUUUUCACAUAGUUGUAGAGGAAACUUAUUUAGUAUAUCUGAGAACUGCCUGCAUUCUCUGCACUUCUCUACUUAGUCUCGGUGCAGCCCAAGUAAAAUAUCGACAGGAGGUCCGCCAAAUGAGUCGACUCUUUAUUUAUAGAUAAUUGCGGAAAGAAAAAUUCAUCAUGAACGCACCAACAAUAAGUAUUUGCACAAUGUUGCAAAUGACGAUCCGAUGGGAACAAAUAACGCAGAAAUACAUGGAACUCGAAAAAAACGACUCGCCAUGUUAAAUCUUUUAAUAUCUGCUUCCGAAAAAAAACAUUUGAAUGAUUUGGAUAUCAAAGAGGAAGUGGAUACUUUUAUAUUCGAAGUCAUGACACAACAUCGCUGUCUAUAUGUUUCACUCUAUUACUACUAGCGGAACAUAAGAAUAUUCAGGUACUUCUCUAUAGAAACAUAAGAUAUAUAACAGUUUAAAAGGAAGCAACUGAUUAAUUCUGUUCAAUCAUUAAGUUGUUAAUUAAUUCCUGUUAAAAAGGUAAAAGCUUCAAGUACUCGUCGCUGUGUAUUUUUUUCAUGCAUUAAUCGAAAUUAAUCGAUUGAAUGAGAUUAAUCAGAAACAAUAACAAUUAUAAGCACAUAACAAUUAUAAGCGAACGCAAUAAUGGCUAUAAUGAUAAAUAAUAAAAGUACGGCUAAAAUCAUUUUUGAAUUGCGACGCGGAACGGCAGCGGCAUUACGUAUAUUCACAAUGUAACUGCACGUCUCAUCGGAGCAACGUAACGUGCAGAUUCGUGCAGAUUCGUGGAUAGAUAUGUGUGAACUGCAAACGCAGUACGGACUGAUGCGAUUCUCUGCUGUAGAGAACUUUAA